CCUUGGAAAGCAUAUUCUCCUCUUUUGGCUCUUGUGAGCAUAUCACCACCAGGGGGCACCCUAUAAAAGGGCAGAGGUUUCUAGCUGGCUGUCUCUUGUUUGUUGGUACACAGACCCGCCCCACUUGCGUGUUUGCCGUGUUUGCUUCCGCCACCGGUGCAGUGGUGGAUCCUCCGGGUGCAGCCUGUCAACGCAGCCAUAGAAAGCAUGAAGCUCUCUCCUCUCUGCGUCAUCGAUAGGAAAGCCUGAUCGGGCCAAUCCAAUGAUUAAGGGACAUCUGCUGUUUUGCUUCACCGGAGAAAGUGUAUUUAUCGGCACAACUGCUGUUGAUCCUGCCUAAAUGUUUGGGCUAC